UACGGAGGGAGCUAGCGUUGUUCGGAAUUACUGGGCGUAAAGCGCACGUAGGCGGCCUUGUAAGUCUCACUGUGAAAGCCCGGGGCUCAACCCCGGGAGGCCAGGGGAUACUGCAAGGCUGGAGACAAGCAGAGGUUGGUAGAAUUCCGGGUGUAGCGGUGGAAUGCGUAGAGAUCCGGAGGAACACCAGAGGCGAAGGCGGCCAACUGGGCUUGUUCUGACGCUGAGGUGCGAAAGCGUGGGGAGCGAACAGG
rnacentral:rRNA from 1 species